rnacentral:rRNA from 2 species
AAAUUGAAGAGUUUGAUCAUGGCUCAGAUUGAACGCUGGCGGCAGGCCUAACACAUGCAAGUCGAGCGGUAGCACAGAGAGCUUGCUCUCGGGUGACGAGCGGCGGACGGGUGAGUAAUGUCUGGGAAACUGCCUGAUGGAGGGGGAUAACUACUGGAAACGGUAGCUAAUACCGCAUAAUGUCGCAAGACCAAAGUGGGGGACCUUCGGGCCUCAUGCCAUCAGAUGUGCCCAGAUGGGAUUAGCUAGUAGGUGGGGUAACGGCUCACCUAGGCGACGAUCCCUAGCUGGUCUGAGAGGAUGACCAGCCACACUGGAACUGAGACACGGUCCAGACUCCUACGGGAGGCAGCAGUGGGGAAUAUUGCACAAUGGGCGCAAGCCUGAUGCAGCCAUGCCGCGUGUGUGAAGAAGGCCUUCGGGUUGUAAAGCACUUUCAGCGGGGAGGAAGGCGGUGAGGUUAAUAACCUCAUCGAUUGACGUUACCCGCAGAAGAAGCACCGGCUAACUCCGUGCCAGCAGCCGCGGUAAUACGGAGGGUGCAAGCGUUAAUCGGAAUUACUGGGCGUAAAGCGCACGCAGGCGGUCUGUCAAGUCGGAUGUGAAAUCCCCGGGCUUAACCUGGGAACUGCAUUCGAAACUGGCAGGCUAGAGUCUUGUAGAGGGGGGUAGAAUUCCAGGUGUAGCGGUGAAAUGCGUAGAGAUCUGGAGGAAUACCGGUGGCGAAGGCGGCCCCCUGGACAAAGACUGACGCUCAGGUGCGAAAGCGUGGGGAGCAAACAGGAUUAGAUACCCUGGUAGUCCACGCCGUAAACGAUGUCGAUUUGGAGGUUGUGCCCUUGAGGCGUGGCUUCCGGAGCUAACGCGUUAAAUCGACCGCCUGGGGAGUACGGCCGCAAGGUUAAAACUCAAAUGAAUUGACGGGGGCCCGCACAAGCGGUGGAGCAUGUGGUUUAAUUCGAUGCAACGCGAAGAACCUUACCUGGUCUUGACAUCCACAGAACUUUCCAGAGAUGGAUUGGUGCCUUCGGGAACUGUGAGACAGGUGCUGCAUGGCUGUCGUCAGCUCGUGUUGUGAAAUGUUGGGUUAAGUCCCGCAACGAGCGCAACCCUUAUCCUUUGUUGCCAGCGGUCCGGCCGGGAACUCAAAGGAGACUGCCAGUGAUAAACUGGAGGAAGGUGGGGAUGACGUCAAGUCAUCAUGGCCCUUACGACCAGGGCUACACACGUGCUACAAUGGCAUAUACAAAGAGAAGCGACCUCGCGAGAGCAAGCGGACCUCAUAAAGUAUGUCGUAGUCCGGAUUGGAGUCUGCAACUCGACUCCAUGAAGUCGGAAUCGCUAGUAAUCGUAGAUCAGAAUGCUACGGUGAAUACGUUCCCGGGCCUUGUACACACCGCCCGUCACACCAUGGGAGUGGGUUGCAAAAGAAGUAGGUAGCUUAACCUUCGGGAGGGCGCUUACCACUUUGUGAUUCAUGACUGGGGUGAAGUCGUAACAAGGUAACCGUAGGGGAACCUGCGGUUGGAUCACCUCCUUACCUUAAAGAA